AAAUUAUCUGUAGGCCUAUCAUUUCCUAAAAAUCAUAAGAUUGUAGAAAAAAUUAUUGCCUACGUGCAUGGUACAUAUUUGAUGAAUGGGGCCUAUAAAAACGAGUGCUCGGCCGUGAUUGGCUGCAUGUACGGUUACGUGGUGUAUGCAAUGUAAAUAAUAAUUUUUUUAAUUUGAAGCUAUAGAUUAUUUUAAAAUUAUGUUUAUUUUAUGGUCUAUCAUCACAUUUUUUUCUUUUUUAGAAUAUUUUUUUCUGAAAAAUAGCGGUUAUAAAUUUACAACAGUUUUUUUUUUUUCGCGGGUGCACCUUCUGGCUCCCUGCAGGGAACCGGUUAGUGUGGUCUAGAUUAAAUCUGCACGAGGCCUGUCAAAGUGUUGAGAGAUGGGCAGUGAUGAGAGGUUUGACAGUAGACACAAACUUUGGGGUCUAGCUCGACCAGCUGACUGGUAUUCAUUUAGGCUUGGUUUCACC
rnacentral:lncRNA from 1 species